ensembl:lncRNA
GUUGAACAUGUUUUUAUUCCAACCUUGUGAAAGGGACAAACGGAUACGUUUUCAUUUUUCUCAAAAACAACUUUAUAUCGAUGGAGUGCGUUUGAUUUGACGGCUUGCACAUGCGCAGUUCGCAGCACACGGCCGUUAGACCCAAUGACGGGUUUUACGAUUGAGUUUAGAUAUCCAACGUCGCCAUGACAUCGCCUACAAGUGUGGUCGGGGAUUUCUAUUGGAGAAGCAGUUUUAGCCUAUCUUCAUAUUGUACUGUCUUUGACAUAGGUCUUCGCAUUAUAAUCAAAGCAACUGGUUGCUAUGGCAUCGGGGAGAGGUCGUCCCGUCAACCAAUCAGAGAUGAAUUCCCACGGUCUUAUAAACCAAUGAAAAUAGGACUCUGGGAAUAGCGGAAAUACAUGAAACCCAUGGCACAAAUACAUUUUUUGCUCAUACCACGUGUUUAUAGGGAAUCGCGAGUUGAUGAUCGCCUAAAGCCAAGUUUUCCAGGAUGCUGGAUUAGAGAUAUUACUGUGGGGAUUGCUACUACUGCCUGUGAUCUGAGGACAACCAGCCAGUGUCUAUCCCCUCCUCUGCUACUGGGCCAGACACACGAGUGCGCACACACACACACACCCUACAGGUUAACAAACCAUGCAACUUUAUGCACAACGACUGCUUUUAACAAUUUCCACAGAAAAUGUUACAAAAACUAAUUUAGUGGAAGAGCUUUGGUAAUAGAAUUACAGUCAAAUCUUAUUCAGGUUUUUGUGACCAAAAACUCUGUUAAAUAUCUGCUGAAUGAAGAUUGAAAUGUCUGCUGAAGACUGGGGAGUCAGCUAUGUCGUGGCACCGUAGCUUAGAAAACAUAUAUUUUGGUUAUUGAACUACAGUAAGUGAAGUGGAUUUACACCUUGUAACAGAAUUAUGGUAAUGGGAUUACAUCAUGGGUCCCUGGUCUGUACUACACACAGAAAUGCAUAAUUAUGUUUGUCAUUCUCCUCAUGUUUCACAAGUUUGGUCAUCACAGUGCAGCAGAGUACAAUACAGCACAGUGGAGUACAUGACAGUACAUUACAAUGUACUGUACCACUGCAUUGUAUUAGACUACUCUAUUGUGCUCUACUCACUGUACUGCACUGUGCUAUCCAAACUUGUGAAACAUACGUCUAUGAUAGGUUCGGAUUUGGUCCGGUCCGUCUGUGGACGUUAACAUCAAGGCCAGGGUGGACUGACCAACUUUCAACUACUUUUCAACGUCCAUGGACAUCAGGUGUCGGUCGGUGCACAGUGGGUGAGGCUGAUGCUCACAGUAAAUGGAAAGAGAGGGGACUCGUGGUUAGGUGUCUAAGAGCUGGGAGAGGUGACAUUUAACUGGAGAGAGACAGACAGGGAGGGGAGGGGUUGCUGAACAUAACAGUAUGGAAGAGGGAGGACCGUAGAAGGUGACCCAACUGUGGUUUGUGACUAUUAUGAUUUCCCAUUGUAUCCAAUUCAGUUGCAGUAAUUCCCUUUAAUAUUUUUUGGGGUAAGAGUUUGAAUUCAUCAUUCAUAAACAUAAUUGAUAUAGUAAUUUGAACUCAUUACUAGGUC